AAGACUCCAAAAACUAGGAUUCCUCGAAAGAAGGCAUGGUGACUUGAAAUCAAUAGAUGCACAAAUCUACCUCUAGCUACAUGGUAGAGUCCAGAUCUAGAAAAAUUAUAAAUCUUAAUUAAUUAAUAAAACUAGGGUUUUAUCUCAAUUAAAGGACUAGAGUACAAAACCGUAUGCUACUCUCCUCCUUGUUGGGAUGCUUGCACUCCUAUACAAAAAUAAGACCAAAAACUAAAGGGGAAGAAUAAAGGAAGAGAGAUAGGAAUUAGGUCUCAAGACUUAGUCCGGGUUAGCUAAAAGGAGGAAGAGAGAGAAAAAAGUUGGAGGGUCGAUCUCGAGUUAGCAUUGGGAGAGAAAAUAAGAGAGAAAAAGAAGUUCUCUAUCUUUUCUUUUGUUCUUCUUUUCCCUUUUUAACUGAGGUGAGAGAGUGUGAGAGAGAUAAAAGAGGAGGAGG
rnacentral:lncRNA from 1 species